rnacentral:rRNA from 2 species
GUAAGGAAUAUUGCGCAAUGGGCGACAGCCUGACGCAGCGACGCCGCGUGGGGGAUGAAGGUCUUCGGAUUGUAAACCCCUUUCGGCAGGGAAGAUGGAACGGGUAACCGUUCGGACGGUACCUGCAGAAGCAGCCACGGCUAACUUCGUGCCAGCAGCCGCGGUAAUACGAAGGUGGCAAGCGUUGUUCGGAUUUACUGGGCGUACAGGGAGCGUAGGCGGUUGGGUAAGCCCUCCGUGAAAUCUCCGGGCCUAACCCGGAAAGUGCGGAGGGGACUGCUCGGCUAGAGGAUGGGAGAGGAGCGCGGAAUUCCCGGUGUAGCGGUGAAAUGCGUAGAGAUCGGGAGGAAGGCCGGUGGCGAAGGCGGCGCUCUGGAACAUUUCUGACGCUGAGGCUCGAAAGCGUGGGGAGCAAACAGGAUUAGAAACCCUAGUAGUCC